rnacentral:tRNA from 1 species
UCCUUGGUGGUCCAGUGGCUAAGACUCCACGUUCCAGAUGCGGGAGGUCUGGGUUCAAUCCCUGGUCAGGGAA